rnacentral:snoRNA from 15 species
GAUCAAUGAUGAAAAUAGCCAAAUCUGAGCACCAGAGGACCAUCCGGUCUAUCUGAUGCAUGAUCUUCAUCAUUCUGGGA